GGGGCAGGUCCUUUUUGGGAUUCCCUCUAAGACCUUUCCACUUGACUGAUCCAGAACACCUUGUCCUGCUCUGGAAGAACAGUUCGUCCAGUUGUCUGGGAUCCAAAAAAUGCAGUUUGACUUCAGCUGUUUACUCAGGUCUACAGAGGCAUUUGGAGGAGGAGGAGAGAAGGUUGUUGGACAAGACGAGGGAACCUGUUCCAGCUCUGGGGGUCUGCAUGAUGGAGGAAAGAAAGACAAGAAUGGGAGAACGACGAGCAGGGAGAUGGAGAGAGAAUUGGGAAGAGUAUAAGGAGGAAAUGAGAGCAGAUAGGGUCUUCAAGAUGCAGAUGGCAAGGUGGAAUUUGAUCUAGUAAGAGUCGUAGUGCUUUAUUUCAUUCAUCCCGGUUUACCCCUUUUUCCAGGUACUAACUAAGAUUCUGAACAAGAUAGGACCUGACAGUGAUCCCUAGCAAUCUAGGAUUUGGGAAUGAGUCCAUCUUUAGUUAAUUCAUUAAUGUUUGUAAAAUGCUUUCAGGUCCUUCGGUGGAAGGUGCUAUGAAGCAAUCUUCAGUGGGGAACAUCUCUUCUGGUUGAAGUUAUUCUAAUGAGCUGUUCAUGACUUUUGUAUAAAACUCUAAUGUCUUUGAAAGUUUGCUCAGCGGUUAUCACUGUGUCUUCACUCAUUAGUCUCUGAUGGUGUGUGAGAUCUUUAAUAGACUUCAGGCUAACUUCUUAUAUGCUGUGUUUGAUUUAACUCUACUGUUAGUCUGAGAGUGCCAUUAAAAAAAAUCAAAACAUUAAAGGCACGCAAUCAAGCUUCUUCCUGUUCUAUCUAAACACACAUGGCCCUACUCCCUGUAGCAUCUCA